rnacentral:rRNA from 1 species
UAGGGAAUCUUCCACAAUGGACGCAAGUCUGAUGGAGCAACGCCGCGUGAGUGAAGAAGGUUUUCGGAUCGUAAAGCUCUGUUGUUGGUGAAGAAGGAUAGAGGCAGUAACUGGUCUUUAUUUGACGGUAAUCAACCAGAAAGUCACGGCUAACUACGUGCCAGCAGCUGCGGUAAUACGUAGGUGGCAAGCGUUGUCCGGAUUUAUUGGGCGUAAAGCGAGCGCAGGCGGAAUGAUAAGUCUGAUGUGAAAGCCCACGGCUCAACCGUGGAACUGCAUCGGAAACUGUCAUUCUUGAGUGCAGAAGAGGAGAGUGGAAUUCCAUGUGUAGCGGUGGAAUGCGUAGAUAUAUGGAAGAACACCAGUGGCGAAGGCGGCUCUCUGGUCUGCAACUGACGCUGAGGCUCGAAAGCAUGGGUAGCGAACAGG